rnacentral:rRNA from 1 species
AUUGAACGCUGGCGGCAGGCUUAACACAUGCAAGUCGAGCGGAGCGGCGGACGGGUGAGUAACACGUGAGUAAGUGCACCGCUCUCUGGGGUAACAGUUCGAAACGGCUGCUAAUACCAGAUAGUGGGGGAUGACUCGCGUCUGGUCAGCUUGUUGGGUGGGGAGUGUCCUACCAAGUCGACGACGGGUCGCCGGCCUGAGAGGGCGACCGGCCACCUUGGGCUAAGUGAGGGACCAGUAGGCAACGGGGGGCAGCAGUGGGGAAUAUUGCACAAUGGGGCAAACCCUGAUGCAGAAACGCCGGGUGCGGGAUGACGUCCUUCGGGUGGUAAACCGCGUUCAGCCAUGACGCGGUAGUGGCAGAAGAAGCACCGGCUAACUACGUGCCAGCCGCCGCGGUAAUUC